rnacentral:lncRNA from 1 species
CACGCCCCCUCUCCCAGGGCCUGACGCUGACCGGGGACUCACGCUGUGCCCCAAGGCUUUCCGGAAGCUACUAGGGUAGAAAGUGAGGCAGGGUGUGACACUGUAACCGUGUGUGCCCCUGUGCCUCUGUGGGACUGUGUGAGUAACCCCGAGGGAGAACAAGAUUGUGGAUGACACCAUGUGCCAUUCUCUGUGUAGCACUAUGUUAAUACAAUAGGAGACGGUGUGUGACACCCCGUGUGGCAAGCAUUGAUGCUGUUCCUUUGUGACCUUGGGGUGCCACUGUGGGUGACACUGUCAGUCUGUGAUGCUGUAUGCAUUCAUGAAGCUGGGGAAUAUGGUGUGGGACAUGUGUGAGAUGUGUUUUAUGGGAGUGUGCGACUGUUAGACAGUGACAGUGUAUGACACCCAUGUGUCAUGUAAGGAUGUGUGACUGGUUCCCUAUUUGAGUGUGUGGUAGUGGGUAUUAACUGUUGUUGUGAUGCUGUUUGUGACCUCUUGUGACUGGAUGACGUAUGAGAGUGUGACAGCACAGGACGUGUGACAUGUGAGUGUGUGACUGAUGUGACAAGUUUGAGUGUGUAAAAAAGUGUGUGACCUGUGCGAUUGCGAAGCUGCGUGUGACCUGUGGGUAUAUGACACUCUCUGUGACCCCACGGGAGUGUGCGACAAUGUAUGACAUCCGCGUGCUUGUGUGUGACACGGCGUGGGUGGUGGUGGCACUAUUUGAGUGUGCCACUACGUGUGAUGCUGUCGGGCACUGUGCCAGUGUGGGAGCCCAUGUGAGCGUGUGACUGCGUGUCAGUCUGAAUGUUUGACUCUGCGUGACCCUGUGGGGGGUGAUACUGCGUGAGUGUGUGGCUGUGGGUGAUGUUUGCGACGCUGCAUGUGACCCUGGUGUGUGUGUGUGCCCGUGUGGGAGUGUGUGACCCCGGGAGAGUGCGUGGCCGUGGGUGACGCUGCCUCCGGCCCCGCGAGCGCCGUGGCUCGGAGUGUCACCGCGCGUGGGCCAGCGCUGCGGGCGGCCGAGGCGGCGGGGGACCGCGGGCGGGAGGGGGUCCCGGGGGCGCGCCGAGCGCGGCGGCCGCGCGAGCGGGGGAGGCGCGGCGGCGGCGGCGGCGGCGGCGGCGCAUGCGGAUCUGGUCGAGCGGCGGGGCCGGCGGGGCCGAACGGAGCCGGACCGGGCCGGGCCGGGCCCCGGACGCCGACACGCAGGGCGGUCGUCGCUGCGAGCAGCGGGGACGGCGGCACCGGCGGCCGCGGGCCCAGCUUUCCAUGGAAGGAGAGAAGAAUAGCAGUGGAUUUUGGAGUGUCCACCCAAAGGGAUAGUCUCCACUACACUGACCAAGACUGGACCCUGCUUUCCUACAAUCUGGUGGGUUAUCAACUGUCGGAAUCUUUGUGAAGAACACUGAUCUUCCCGCAAUUCCCCCCUUUCUUAGUUUUGGAAUCAGGGGCCUGGAGGGAGGAGGAGAUGAAUCUGAUGUCGCCCACCCCCUUAAAUUUCAUAUUUGCAAUCCGGCAGUGUUCUAGAGCCUAGCUCUGGAUCAGACAAUAUGUCAGCUAGCUGUUGCCACAAUAAUGCUGCAUAAGGAACCAGCCCUAAACUCAGUGUCUUAAAACACUGAGCAUUUAUUUAAUUAUCGAGUUUAAAGUCAGUGACUGAGACUGGGCUCAGCUGGGCAGUUUUGCUGAUCUGAGCUGGGUUUAUUCACAUGUUGGGAUGCGGGGGUUGGGAGUGGUGUUGACUAUUGGCUCCUGGACCUGGCCUUGGCUUUGGUGACUGGAGCCUUACACCUGGACUGUGCUGACACUAUUUUUCUCAUGGUCCCAAUCAAGCACAAGCAAAAACAUGCAAAGUCUCUUGAGUUUCAGGUUCAGAAUUCACCAGUACUUCCACCUGAUUCUGUUGGUCAAAGCUAGUCAUGUGACCAAACCCAGAGUCAAGGUUGCGAGGAGAUGCUCUUCCACUUUUCUCGUCCCUACGGUAGAAGAACACUCAGGAGUUAUAUGGCAAAGGGUGUGGUUAUAAGGAUGAAGAACUGAGGCUGUUUAAUGCAAUCAUUUGAUCAGAGUACUUGCAUUUGAACUCUGGCUACCCACGAGCUUUGCAACUUUGGGCUUGACUUUCUUCCUCUAGUGCUCAAUAUGUGUUUAUUCCUGUUCUUACUGUGUUGGAGAGUUUUACUGAUAACAGUGUCAUCAUUCUAACAAUAAUACAGGGACAAUGUACACUAGACACUACUCUGUGCCAAGUGCUAGGCUGGAUGCUUUAGCACAGUCCUAUGAAAUGGUCAGGGCCAAUGUUACUGUCAGUGGUAUUAUGUCCAUUUGAAAGACAGGGAAAACUGAGGAUAAGGGAGUGGACAGGACUCACAGUCAGUCACUGUUAGAAGUGGGACCUCUGUGCUCAGGCUGUGUCUCUAGUCUAACAUGCCUCUGCUCCUC